rnacentral:lncRNA from 1 species
AGCACCCACUCCUCCUGCUGUUGUAAAUGUAGGUGAACCCAAUGGGAAGAAAUUAUGAUGUCUGACUCAAUUUAGAAGGUUGAAUGAUUUCUUUAUUAUAACUAUGUUCAAAUACAUUAAUAUAUUGUAUAAAGGAAGAUAUUAAAACUACAUACUAUUUUUUCUAACUUUAUAUUUAACUCUAACAUAACUUGUGACCCUCUCUUGAGAGUUUAGGUACAGGUAGAUUGGAUUGGUCAUCAGGAUCAAACAAUCUUCACUAGAAUCUAAUUAAGCACUCACUCUAGGUAAACAAUUUUUUAAACACAUUUCAUAUGAGAAGAACAAGGAGCAGAAAUAGAAAUUGUUUUCUCUUUCAUUUCUCUCUGUGCACCUCCAUGAAAAAUUUUGAGAGAGGGAGAAAUGUCCUGCAACAUUCUGCAGCAAAAGGCAGUCACAGACCUUAAUGACCAUCAGGCUGGUGUGCCCCAGUGAUGCAGUUCACCAUGCCCUGAUUAACUGGUGCAAACUGUGCCCCUGAACAUUUUCUCUGUGGAAUUAGUUCUUUUGUUGAUGGGAAUGGUCCAAGAAGUUGUUAGAGUCACUGCUGGGACUUGAUAUGAUUACAGAUACAUUUCCAUGCUCAAUUACGAGUGCUGUGAUGACUGGUUUGUCCCUUCCUCUGGUAUAAACAGGGACAUCAGCAUGCAUAAUGCAAGACUCGGGAUUCUGGACAUCACUACAGUAAGCACAAUAAAGGUCUGAGAACCUCUUGGUCAAUUCUAAAACUCCCACCUCUUGCCACACUGUUAGAAACAGGUCCUUGUUGAGCUGCUUUUAGCUUUUAUCAUCUUUGAUAAAAUUUUAGUACUUAUCAUCUCUGUCUCCAUGGGUGCACCUUCCUGGUGUCCUGUUGCUUUCCAAACAUUGAGUUCUACUGUUGUCACAAAGGAUCUGGAAACAGAUAUAUGAUCACAAAGUGUAAGACAGAUAGCUGAACGGCACCAAAAAAAAAAAAAAAAAAAAGUGUUCAAUCCUUAAAACAAAAGAGUUAAAAUAAAAUUAAUUUCUCUUAUCCAUUUUCCAAAGAUGCCAGCCUUUCUAUAUAAACUCCUCUGUCAUUAAUCUAAUAAAGUUCUACUUUGUUCAUAAUUUACUACACUCUUGAAUAAGCCAUUCUAAUAUUUGUGCAGGGCAAGUACAUAAAUCAUUGUUGCCCUUCUCUACUUUUUUUACUUAUCUGGUUCUUUCAAGGUCAAUAACCUACCUUACAACAUUCAUCUGGUUUAAAUAUUCAGCUAUUGCCUUUUACACCUCUCUUCCUUGUUCACAUCCAUUUGGAUAUCUGCAGCUGUAUCUUCUCAAGUAGCUAUUGAUCAUGUCUCCUUGCUAAAGGUUGCUAACUUCGUCAGCAGUAAUGAUACAAAUUACAUCUGUUAGGGUUCACUCACACCUCUCUUUCUGAAGGAGAGACUGCCUUCAGACUUUGUUGUUAUUGGCCAUCUUUUCUGCCUAAGAUAUCUAAAACUCAGUGAGAAAAAUUAUAUGCUGGAAAAUAUCCUCAUUCUGACACAUGUAGGCUCUCAGUGCCCAGGUCAUGCAGAGAAGCUAAUCAAUCCCUACUGACCUCCAGGAGCCUGGAAUAUAGCUGGGUAAGGCCCCAGUCCAGCAAUGCACUUAAGGAUGUGCUUAUGUAAACACAGGAUCCAUCCCAUUUUCAGUGCAAUUUGGUGAGAAGUGCGUUUCUGAGCAGAGCAUCUCCAGGGAUGCUCCUUUUUGCCAGGGCUGUGCAGGAUGAGGCUCUACCAGUUGCCAACAUGAGCACACUCCAAGGUAUUUGGUAAUCUUGCACAGGGCAAAGUAACUUUCUUUGUCUUACUUGUGGGGAGGCUGCUGAGGUGCCACUGCUCUGGAAUCAGUGUGUGUUUGUGAGCGUGAUCUCUUGUCCUCUGCACAGCUGAUGAGCUCUUAGGAGCUUGACUUUCUCUUGCUGACUGUUUAAGAGAAAAUUAAAUUAUUUAGGGUUAGGCAGAAUAAUUGGGUGCUUCAGGACCUUACAGUUAUGCCUGCUCUGUGCUGAGGGAUCAUCCUGUCUUCUGACUUCAUCAGAUCCUUGACCCAAUUGUGUUGCUGCCACAAGAUUGCCAACCUAUACCAAAAAACAGAGGAGUGGAGUUUUGCUGUGGUUAUGUGCCGAGGAGGGAGGCUGGAGUAGUUACCACCAUGGUGUAGAAGAAAACAGGGCUAGAAAGGACCUGAACAGGUCACCUCAUCCACCCCCACACAAACCACUCCUGACUCGUUUGUCUGAAGUGUUUUUUUAACCCUGUCAGGCGUGGAGAUCCCCCAGCCUGCCCAGGCAAUCCCCUCCAGUGCCCAGUGACCCCUGCAGCAGGGAAGUUAUUCUAGUUCUGAACUCAGAUCUCCCUUGCUGCAUUUAAACCCAUUACUUUUUUUGUGCUUUCCUGUGGAUAUGGAUACAAAUUUAUUGCCUUCCUCUUUGCAUAAGCCAUUUGUAUAAUUGAAGGCUGUUAUCAAGUCUCCUCUCUGCCUUCCCUGCUCUAGACUAAAUAGCCCAGAUAGGAUGAAAGCUGGAAUGGGGUGUCAGGGAGAAGGAGUUAGAGGAGGAAAUCAGAGGGGGAUUAAUCCUGCUUUCAUUCCCUGUAGAAACAGACUUUGCCUUCUGAAGGAUGGGGAUGUGGGAGGGGGAAACAGGAUUCUCAGUGCUGCUGAUUCACUAAUGCAGCUCUGUGAAAUGUGUAUCUGAUUGAUGGGCCACUGCCUCACAGACUAAGGAAGAGGGGCUUGGGCUGACAGUCUGCUGAGCUGUGACCCUGCUCUCCAGCCUCUGUGCUUGGAAAUGAAGGCUUCACUUUCUUACACUGGUGAGGAGUGUAUCCAGCUCACACGUCACCUCCUGUGAGAUGUAUCUGGUUGAGCUUCUGUGCAUCCCAAAAGCUGCUUCCAGGUGCUGUGUGUGUCAUACAAUCAGACAACAUGAUGAUGUAGAACCACCACCAUCUAGACCACCCAGCAUGAGCCCUGCCAGGGAGCAGGAGUCCUCUCCUCUGAUGGCAAAACCUUGUUUCUGCUGCCCUGGCCGCGGCUCUGUGCUUCCCACCCAUGGACAGCAUGGGAAGCCACCCACCACACACGCUGCCUACAUGUGUUUCAGCUGCCUUCAUGUUUGCAGCUUGAUUGCUGUUCAUAAAAGCAGCACGUGGAACAGGCAAACUCCGUGUGCUCCAGAAACCCUUGGGGUGUGCUUUGUCAAUGUCACACACAUCAAGGAAGUUCAGCGAGCGCUCAGAGUGACUUCUCGUGUUCAGAGCCCUUUUCCAUUAUUCACAUCUGCUGUCAGAGCUGCAGCCCUUGCUGUCACAACCUGAAACAAAAAUACCUCCCAGCCUGGAGACUUCCAAAAGCCUAAGGUGGGGGGAAAAUGUUUCCUUGCUACUUAAUGCUCCCAAACAGCCUUUGGUGACAGUUUUGCCUUGCUCCAAGCGCUCCAAGAACAGCACGUAAGGUGGAGCUGUUUUCCCUAGACUCCUGGUGACAUGGGAUCACAGGAUUAUUUACAUCAGAAAAGGGCUGGCCUUGAAGAAAGCAAAAUAUUAGAUGCUGUUUGGAGCAGCAAGAAAUUUCAUUGCAUUUCAAGUGCACUGCAGAUUAACUCCAGCACUCCUGGUCUCUCUUCCUCCCCCACUGGCUCAUCAGUCAGCUGUUAAGACUUUAUAGUUCAACUUUGGAGUUAAAAAAAUCUUGACAAAUUGCAAUCCAAUUGUUUGGUUGGGUUUUUUUCUUUCCUCUCCCUUUCCCCCACCCUCCCUUCUCAGAGUGACUUUGAAGAUGAUAUUUGUAUUUCUGAAUUAAAACCACAUUUGCCCAAUACUGCAGAGGGGUGAGGCAGAAGAAAGAAGAAAAGCUUUUGUUCUCCUCCUCACAGCGACCCUCACCUGCCAGGGGCAAGCUCCACAAUAAUUUCUAACAGCUGAGGUUAGUCAGGGACACCUAAUCCCAGAAAGCUGGCUCUGAAUUCCAGCACCAGCACACAGUGUUUGAGUUUCAUCAACAGCCAUUUACAUCUAAUUCUCCCAAUCCUCUGAAGUGUGAGUAUGUGUACAGGUGUGUGCUUAUUUAAUCAAAAAUAUAUUUUUUUUCAUAAAUUUGAACCCAAAUGACAUCAACAGCAGUGACAUUAUGUUUUUUUUAAAUCUAAGCAAGCUCAGGAAUUGUUUUGAGGAUGUGCUGGGGUCUUUUGAGUGUACCCUAAACAUCAGUGUCUACAGAAUGCCCAAGAAUUAUGAUUCUCAGCCAAAGGGAGGGCUGAAUUCUCCUUCCCUGAUUUCCUGUAAUGGAAAAGGAGUGCUCUGUGCAAAUAGAACUGAAAGUCUCUUGCUGAGUGUGCUGAGACCUGUCCAGUGUGUCUCCAGAAGGGAUGUAAGGAGCAUCCUGGCAGCACAACAGAGAGAAACCUCCCAGGGUUCAGCUGAUGGGAGGAUGUGACAGCAACGGGCUCACUCCGAAAGAAAUGCAUCUUCCCAGGCAUGAACAGGGAUCAGAUGGGGUGUGGUGGGUAAAAUUACAUUUUUUUCUUCUUUGGAGUCAGUCAGAAGGAAUAAUUUGUUAUUUUUCUCAGGAGAGUUUUAAUUUUUUCAAAGGUAGUCCCCUGGUUGACCCUAAGUAUUGGUGACCCAAGGAUAAAACUCCCAUUCUGCUGCAUCCCUUCCCACAAAGGAAAUUUCCAGCAACUUCUCUAUUUGUGGUGUUUAAGAUCAUUCUCUUUUUAUUAAGAAAAAAACUUUGGUUUUGCUGUUUGGCCAGUUGAAAUGAGUAAUGAAAAUAUUAUUUACAUGGGACAAAUGAAAUGUUUUCUUUGAAAUUAUUUCAUGUUACUAAUUGAUUACAGUGGUACUGCUUGGAUGUGUGUAGCAUACAGCAUCCAGUCCCUCUGUUAGAGCAAUACUUCAGCCAACCUGAUAUAAACCAGCCCAUGGGAGAAAACAAGAGGAAAAGGUGUCAGGUAUUUAAGGCUGACCAUCCCAUGGAUCCAGUUCAGUCUCCACAAGGAAACAAUUAGAGUGUCUGAAAAUUUGUCCUAAAAAUAUUGGAAGUUUCUGUGGAACAUGAAACACUAGAGAAUACCGAUAAUUAAAAACAGAAUAGAAAUUAAAAAAUUAUCUAGAGAAAACUCCUCCAAGGAAUAGGUAUUUUCUGUUGUUCAGUGCAGACACCACUGAGAGCCUGCUAGAAUGGAAAGUACUUGCUACUGAUGAAAAGUAAUAACAUAAAUCCACAGUAUGUCAGAAUUCAAAUCAGAAAGGGAAAAAAUUAAUAUAAAGGAUUUAAGUGUUACAGCACAAUUCCCUCAAGAAGAAAAAGAAUCUCAUAUUUGGAACUGAUUUAAAUAUAAUAAUCUUCAAAUAUUCAUGGCUGAAAAUGUUUCCUAAAUGCUGUUUCCAAAAUGUUGUGAGACAACAACUGUGUCCUGAGCUGAUUUCAAAACCAUGGAAAAUAAUAUUGUUUCACAUAAACACAGAAGAAAAUGUGAUAUCAACAGAAAUUAAGCUGAAGAUACGGUCUCUUCUUAUAGAGUUGCCUUAUUUGUAUAUCUGUGUCAUAAGUGCCAAAAUCUUCUUGUUCCUCACCCUCUCUUGUCAAUGGCAGGCAAAGACUGCUGGGGACAAUGAUUUUGCCACCCUGGUGUCCUGUGACCUUUGGAGGAUGAGUGAUCCUUCUCCCUGUGGGAGAUUUGGUGUUUUGCCACUGGUCAACAAAAUGCUGUCCUCAAUGCAUCUGUCAAGAUCCCACUCUGGAACAGAAGAUCAGAGCAAACGGGGGCUGAGGAGAACAAAAGCUGACCCAAACCUUUGACCUAAAUUUAACAUAAAGCCAAAUGAAACCUUAGAGAUUUUCUGCUUCUGAACUCCUCUGAAGUCCUCCCCAGUGUCAAGGCUGGACUGAUGUGCCAGCAGUGCUGUCCCUGUCCCAGUGUCUGACAGCAGUGAUGGCACCUUCUUCAGACACCCUGACCAAAAUGCCUUCAGAGUAUCUGCUGGGUGCCUUUGUCUUUGGAGGUUUGGAUAGUCCUGUCCAUGCACUGACCA